rnacentral:lncRNA from 10 species
UGGGCUACCACGGCUUCUUCCUGGCUGUGUUUCUUCUGGUCCAUCGGGCAACCUCUCUGAAUUCAACUGUCCAAUCAACAAAACGUGGGUGUGGCCUCGGGAGAGGGCUGGUCUCCAACUGCACACUUCCUGGAUAGCAGUGAUCAUGGACACAUUUCAGGUUGGGCACUUGCAGUGCCAAGGGGAGGAGGACGCAAUGUGAAGGGAAGGUUUCUUGGUCGUGGUCUGGAUUGACAAGGAGGGCCAGAGGCAAACAAGGAUCAUCCAGACGGGACGGUUCACCUCUCCCUAACCUCCACAGCGACCCCAGGGCUGUUGGGCACCAGAGGAGGAAAUGCUGACUCACUAAUAGGAAGCUGGGACACACCCUCGUGUUGCAACCGUGGCCUCCCGGGGGUGCGUCGGCCUCAUCUGGCCACUGGGCUGGCGUCCCCCUCUGCUUUCCAUCAGCGCAUACUGGAUUCCCUCACCUUUUGCCGUCCCCACACUGCGCCACCCUGCACCUGGCACCACUCAGCACCUCCUCCUGGCCCUACCCGUCCGCCAUGGAAUCCAGCCACUGAGAAAGGCACCAUUGAAACAGACAUAAUCAUGGGUCAGAAGAUGUGACUCAGCCUCUACUCAAAUCUGUUUGUCAAACCAAAAGGUGCUUCGUGUUUAAGUCAAACUAUCCCUAAUGCAUUUUCCAUUCUCUUCAAAAACCACAGCCAUCAGUUUUAAAAAAAGACAGAAAACAUGAAGCACACUUCUCUUGCCUGAGUGUGGAGCAAAGAGGGAAUAAUUAUCCAUAAAGUGGCCUUCUGAGUGUUUGCUUUGCGAUGAAAGAAAACUUUUGAGAGCUUGGAAUAAAGAAGGAAUAGGGGCUCCCUUUCCUGCAGUAGCUACUUUGUUUGGGUCUGAGAAGCUGGAGGAAGGAGCCGUUUGCUUAUUCAUUCAAGCAAAUGAGGGUGUCCUCGGCGGGUUUAACAAGAUUGGACUUACGCAAUGGCAAGAAGGAAACCGAGAUUGAAAAUGACCAAUUUUGCUGGUUGAGAGGCGUCUUGUUUUCUGGAAGAAACUGAGAAUCUGCAGUUGUAGACUGGGAAUGCUAGAACCUCUGGAGUGGCAUCAACUCGAUCGGGGGCCAAAACCAUGAGAAAGCACCAAUAUUUUCCACCGUUUUUAACCAAACUCGGC